GGGGUGGAAGCCAAGUUGGUAAGGGCGUAUGGCUACCAACCAGAAGGUUGCAAGUUUGAUUCUCACCCUUUGCA